AACGAACGCUGGCGGCGCGCUUAACACAUGCAAGUCGAACGAGAAGCUGUAGCAAUACAGUUGUACAGUGGCGAACGGGUGAGGAAUACAUGGGUAACCUACCCUCGAGUGGGGAAUAACCAGCCGAAAGGCUGGCUAAUACCGCGUACGCUUCCCAAUCUGCGGGUUGGGAAGGAAAGCUCUACCGUGGGUAGAGCGCUCAAGGACGGGCUCAUGUCCUAUCAGCUUGUUGGAGGGUAACGGCCUACCAAGGCAACGACGGGUAGCUGGUCUGAGAGGACGAUCAGCCACACUGGCACUGCGACACGGGCCAGACUCCUACGGGAGCAGCAGUGAGGAAUAUUGCGCAAUGGGCGACAGCCUGACGCAGCGACGCCGCGUGGGGGAGU
rnacentral:rRNA from 1 species